UGAACGCUGGCGGCGUGCCUAAUACAUGCACGUCGAGCGAACAGAUGAGGAGCUUGCUCCUCUGCCGUUAGCGGCGGACGGGUGAGUAACACGUGGAUAACCUACCUAUAAGACUGGGAUAACUUCGGGAAACCGGAGCUAAUACCGGAUAAUAUAUUGAACCGCAUGGUUCAAUAGUGAAAGACGGUUUUGCUGUCACUUAUAGAUGGAUCCGCGCCGCAUUAGCUAGUUGGUAAGGUAACGGCUUACCAAGGCAACGAUGCGUAGCCGACCUGAGAGGGUGAUCGGCCACACUGGAACUGAGACACGGUCCAGACUCCUACGGGAGGCAGCAGUAGGGAAUCUUCCGCAAUGGGCGAAAGCCUGACGGAGCAACGCCGCGUGAGUGAUGAAGGUCUUCGGAUCGUAAAACUCUGUUAUUAGGGAAGAACAAAUGUGUAAGUAACUAUGCACGUCUUGACGGUACCUAAUCAGAAAGCCACGGCUAACUACGUG
rnacentral:rRNA from 1 species